UACGGAGGGUGCAAGCGUUAUCCGGAUUCCCUUGGUUUAAAGGGGGCGUAGGAGGGCAGGUAAGUCAGUGGGGAAAUCUCCAAGCUUAACUUGGAAACUGCCGUUGAUACUAUCUGUCUUGAAUGUUGUGGAGGUGAGCGGAAUAUGUCAUGUAGCGGUGAAAUGCUUAGAUAUGACAUAGAACACCAAUUGCGAAGGCAGCUCACUACACAAUUAUUGACUCUGAGGCACGAAAGCGUGGGGAUCAAACAGG
rnacentral:rRNA from 1 species